UACCAGCACCCCGAGUGGUCGGGACGUUUAUUGGGCCUAAAGCAUCCGUAGUCGGUUCUACAAGUCUUCCGUUAAAUCCACCUGCUUAACAGAUGGGCUGCGGAAGAUACUAUAAGACUAGGAGGCAGGAGAGGCAAGCGGUACUCAGUGGGUAGGGGUAAAAUCCGUUGAUCCAUUGAAGACCACCAGUGGCGAAGGCGGCUUGCCAGAAUGCGCUCGACGGUGAGGGAUGAAAGCUGGGGGAGCAAACCGG
rnacentral:rRNA from 1 species